GACGAACGCUGGCGGCGUGCCUAAUACAUGCAAGUAGAAUGCUGAAGAGAGGAGCUUGCUCUUCUUGGAUGAGUUGCGAACGGGUGAGUAACGCGUAGGUAACCUGCCUUGUAGCGGGGGAUAACUAUUGGAAACGAUAGCUAAUACCGCAUAACAAUGGAUGACACAUGUCAUUUAUUUGAAAGGGGCAAUUGCUCCACUACAAGAUGGACCUGCGUUGUAUUAGCUAGUAGGUGAGGUAAUGGCUCACCUAGGCGACGAUACAUAGCCGACCUGAGAGGGUGAUCGGCCACACUGGGACUGAGACACGGCCCAGACUCCUACGGGAGGCAGCAGUAGGGAAUCUUCGGCAAUGGGGGCAACCCUGACCGAGCAACGCCGCGUGAGUGAAGAAGGUUUUCGGAUCGUAAAGCUCGGUUGUAAGUCAGGAACGGGUGUGAGAGUGGAAAGUUCACACUGUGACGGUAGCUUACCAGAAAGGGACGGCUAACUACGUG
rnacentral:rRNA from 1 species